rnacentral:lncRNA from 1 species
GCUGAGCCGCACCCCUGGGGCAUUUCCAGGGCCCCCACGCCCUGCCUUCAGGGGCUUUUCUGGCCUCGCGGCUGGCCGAGGAGCCGCGGGGAAGCUGGAGGCGGGCGCGGGGAGCCCGGGCGGGCGGGGUGGGGGCGCGGUGCGGGCCGCGUGGGUGCAGGGUGCGGCCGGGGGGGCGCGGGGCGCGGGCGGGGCGCGGGCGGGGCGGGUGAGGGAGCGCGGCCGCAGGAGGCGGGAGCGCACGCGGCCGGUCGGUCCGCGCUCCGGGGCGCCCGUCGCUUUGUUCCGGGAGCGGCGGCAGGGAGCGGGCGGCGGCCGGGCGUGGCGGCGCGGGAACCGGCCGAGGCGCAACUUCGCGUCCGUCCGUCCGUCCGUCCGCACCAGCGCGCGGGAGCUCCUCGCCGCCGGCGUCCGCGCACCGGGGCCCCUCGGUGCCCAAGGGGGUCCGGGGCGUGCGGCUCCCGCCGGGUCUCGCUGCCGGGCUCCCCCGCCCGGGGCGCCCCCGCCGCCUGCCCGCCGCCCUCCCGCCGCGGGCCGAGCGGGGCGCGACAAAGGCUCGGUGCGGGGCCCUCCGCGCCCCGCAGCUGCGCGCUGAGCCCGCCGCCGCCGCCCCCGCGGGCACCAACCGCCGCGCCGCCGGGCCGUUGGGCGGGGGUCAUUUCUGGGAACGGGGCGGGGUCGCGGGCGAGCGCGGCGGCGGCGGCGGCGGAGGAGGAGCGGGCGGCGCCGAGGCCGCGAGGCGGGGGGGCGGGGCGGCCGGAGCGUCACGGGCGGGGCGGGGCCGGGGCGGGGCCUGGAGGGGGCGGGGCCGCGGCGCGCUCGGUCCGCCGCGCCCCCGCCCGUCCCUGGCGGCGGCCGAGGAGUGGAGCCUGGGCGGGCGGCGGGGGGGACCUGCGCGGGGAGUUUUCCCGAGCCCCGGCCCCGGUAACGGCCGCACUGGCCGAGCGCGGAGCUGAGCCCGGGAGGGGCCGGAGUGACAGCGGGGCCGCGGGAGGCUGUGCCGUGCGGCCCGGGCGGCGGGGAGCGGGAGCGGGAGCGGGAGCGGGAGCGGGCGCUGCAGGUGCACGCGCUGCCCCCGCCCGGCGCACGGCGGGGCCCCCGCGGAGGGCUGCGGUGGCAGCGGCGGCUGCGGGAGCCCCGAGCGGGGACGGGACAGGUGGCCCGCCUUGA